AAGGAGGCGACGGGGAUUCGAAUUCCCCUGGGGGUA
rnacentral:tRNA from 1 species